CUGGUCUUCAUGUUUUAUCUUCAGAAUCUGCUAAAGUUCCUUGGUUUGAUAGUGUUUUUGCCGAUAUUGGCGAUGAGCAUUCCUUGUCUCAAUCAUUAUCUACAUUCUCUGGACACUUGAAACAAAUUAGUGAAAUCCAAUCAAAGUCGACAAGCCAAUCACUCGUGCUAUUAGAUGAAGUCGGUGCUGGAACUAAUCCCCUUGAAGGAGCAGCACUAGGGAUGUCUGCUAGAAUCUUUUGCUAAAAGUGGCGCAUUGUUGACAAUAGCUACAACGCAUCAUGGCGAACUUAAAACUUUGAAAUACAGUAAUGAUACUUUUGAAAAUGCUUGCAUGGAGUUUGAUGAAGAGAAUUUGAAGUCAACUUACAAAAUUCUCUGGGGAGUACCAAG